rnacentral:rRNA from 1 species
CCUACGGGAGACAGCAGUGGGGAAUAUUGGGCAAUGGGCGCAAGCCUGACCCAGCAAAGCCGCGUGAAGGAAGAAGGCUUUCGGGUUGUAAACUUCUUUUCUCAGGGACGAAGCAAGUGACGGUACCUGAGGAAUAAGCCACGGCUAACUACGUGCCAGCAGCCGCGGUAAUACGUAGGUGGCAAGCGUUAUCCGGAUUUACUGGGUGUAAGGGGCGUGUAGGCGGGAAAGCAAGUCAGAUGUGAAAACCAUGGGCUCAACCUGUGGACUGCAUUUGAAACUGUUUUUCUUGAGUACUGGAGAGGCAGACGGAAUUCCUAGUGUAGCGGUGAAAUGCGUAGAUAUUAGGAGGAACACCAGUGGCGAAGGCAGUCUGCUGGACAGCAACUGACGCUGAGGCGCGAAAGCGUGGGGAGCAAACAGGAUUAGAUACCCGAGUAGUC